rnacentral:tRNA from 1 species
UGAUAAAAACAGGGAUUAAACCUGCCUAAAUAGGACUACAGCCUACCGCUUAAACAAUCAGCCAUUUUACC